GGAGGAGUCGCAUAGUAGGUCUAGUGCGGCCGCCUGCUAAGCGGUUGGCGGGGGUGUUCCCUCCGCUCGUGGGUUCGAAUCCCACCUCCUCCGCCA
rnacentral:tRNA from 1 species